UCCGAGUUGACCCCGGCAGUCUCCCAUGAGUCCCCGCCAUAACGCGCUGGCAACAUGGAACGAGGGUUGCGCUCGUUGCGGGACUUAACCCAACAUCUCACGACACGAGCUGACGACAGCCAUGCACCACCUGUGAACCAGCCACAAGGGAGGCCCUAUCUCUAGAGCUUUCUAGUCCAUGUCAAGCCCAGGUAAGGUUCUUCGCGUUGCAUCGAAUUAAUCCACAUGCUCCGCCGCUUGUGCGGGCCCCCGUCAAUUUCUUUGAGUUUUAACCUUGCGGCCGUACUCCCCAGGCGGAUGACUUAAUGCGUUAGCUGCGCCACCGAAGGCCGAAGGCCCCCGACAGCUAGUCAUCAUCGUUUACGGCUGGGACUAC
rnacentral:misc_RNA from 1 species